AAGAAAGUGACAGAGUGGUUUUGUACCUGACUUGAAAUCAGUGAAUGGAGGUUCGAUUCCUUCCUUUCUCG
rnacentral:tRNA from 1 species